rnacentral:rRNA from 1 species
CCCUUAGAUGUCCUGAGCUGCACGCGCGCUACACUGAUGCGCUCAACGAGUUUACGAUCUUGCCUGAAAUGGCUGGGUAAUCUUUUUAAAAUGCAUCAUGAUGGGGAUAGAUCAUUGCAAUUAUUGAUCUUCAACGAGGAAUUCCUAGUAAGCGCGAGUCAUCAGCUCGUGCUGAUUACGUCCCUGCCCUUUGUACACACCGCCCGUCGCUACUACCGAUUGAAUGGCUUAGUGAGCCUUUGGGAUUGGCAGCCAACACCGGCAACGGUAGCUGGCCGCCGAAAACUUAUGCAAACUUGGUCAUUUAGAGGAAGUAAAAGUCGUAACA